rnacentral:misc_RNA from 1 species
GUGGGCGGAGACGGCGUUUAAGAGGUGGUGGGUUGCCUUUUCGAAAUUGACAAAACCCAUAAACCAAAACUCAUGGCCGUCCACGGUGGCGAUCUGGAGGUACCUCGCCGACGGGUUUCCCGGCAUCGUCACUGGAUUCACCGCCGCUAUAUGCGACAAUGGUAUCAUUACCUUGUAGUAGCUCCAAGACGGUUGACCAGACGGAGCAGUGAAGUAAAGCGGGCGAUCGCUACAAAAACCCAUACGCGCCGUCGACAAAUACAGGGUUCCGGCGACUGGACCCGUCGCGGUGGAGAGAUAGCAAGCAAAGCUUUUCAUCAGUUUCUCAUUCACCUCCGUCGCGAAAGUCUGCUUAAACAGAGACUCAAAUCCCCCUUCCGUUAUUGCCUUUGCCGUCAAGUUCAAUUUCCCCCAAGCCGCCUCCGACAUCGACGGCCCAGUUCUCAGAUUGUGCCAAAUGUUACGCGCGAUCGACUCUGCUUUGUUGCUCCACGAAUUGAAGGCAUGUACCACGGGCUCGAACGGAUUGGUGCUCGGCCGAUGAUCCACCGGCGAGUACUGCACGUACGGAUGGUGGUAAAUCUGCUGCUGAGCGGCGGCGUUCCAGAACGCUGCCUUCUGGUUAUCCGGAUGCUCGUUGGGAGCCGCCGGUGCUCCCAUGAUGUGUGUCCCCCAUUUCUUUGAUUCAUCCUCCGUCGACGGCGGCGGUGAAGGGGAGGCCUGAGAUUCGGCGGGUUUAGGAUCUUCGGAUGUUCCGGCCAUGGUGGAUUUCCGAUUUUCUUUUUUUAUUUUUGUGGUAUCGAUUCGAUUGAGAAAUGAAGAUGGAGGGAUUUUAUAGGGAGGAAUUGGGAUUGUGAUCUAAGAAACGUGACGCGGUUUCUCGAAGAACGAAUUGUAGUGAUUCCUUCUCGACGAAGAAGAAAGAAAAUUCGACGAUGGAUUUUUCUAAGGGAGAAUGACGGCUGAGUUAUGAAAACGAAA